UCCAGGAUAGUCUAGUGGACAUGGCACCUGCCCGGUAAGCAGAAGGUUGUGGGUUCGAUUCCCGCUCCUGGAC